UACGAAAUCAAUUAAAUCUUAAUCACAUAAAAAUUAGCACAAAAAAAAAUAUUCAACAAUUAAAAAAUAACAAAUCUCUGUGUUAUAUAAGUUUUGAUACUAUAUUCGAAUAAAGUGUAAUAUACCUUUUCAAUUUGUAUUCUUUAACUAAUUUAAGCUAACAAAUAUAUUUGCUAAUCUUAUACCUAUCAAAACCGACAAUCGUUUCUUAUCUCUAUAGUAUUUUUGCAAGACUUUUUUGGUGGAUUUGGAUAAAAGUGCGUUCGGCUCAUAUGGUACAUUCCCCUAUUAAAUAAAUAUGGUGCACUCCUAUGUUAUUAACUAAAAUGUUUAGAUUAUAAUUCAGAGUCAUAUCAUUAAUAAAAAUAAUAUUAAUAAAUAAAUGGCUUUUUGGCAAGACAGAUUUAGAGAGACGGGUUUUUGAAUCAACAUUAAUAAAAAAAAUAAAAUAUAAUUAAUCCACCGUUUCAAUACGGGUUAAAUCUUUAAUUUAUUAUUUUCUAAGACCACUAAUAUUAAACAUAUCAAAUCAUCCUAAUUUAGAAAAGAUUAUAUAAAACAAAAAAUGUUAUGUGGUAUGUAUAAUGUUACUAUAUAUAAAAUUAAACUAUAAAAUAUAAAUGUAUUAGAAAAUGAUACAAUUUGCAAAACUUUUAUAUAAAAAAUAAUUCUUAAAUUUUAAAAAUUACUACUUAAAAAAAAAUCACAGGACGGGUAAAGAAAUUACAGAACGGGUUUUAUUUUAGAAUUGAGUUAUAUGGCGGAUGUAUUUGAAUUAAUAUUUAUAAAAU
rnacentral:sRNA from 1 species